UAGCUUCUGGGGUGUGCGACACUCUUAUCAUUUUGAACCUACAUUUACUUUUAUGGGAUUCCUAUAUCGCGCAGAAAUAUGUCAGGCCUCCAUUAUGCAGAGGAAGACAGACAGCUGCGUUGCGGUUACCCACCUAGCUUUGCUAGGAGUCAAAAGAUAGGAACCGGCACUCUGGAUUUGAA
rnacentral:other from 1 species